GACGUAGGGCGCGAGCGUUGUCCGGAUUUAUUGGGCGUAAAGAGCUCGUAGGCGGCUUGUCGCGUCGACUGUGAAAUCCCGCGGCUCAACCGCGGGUCUGCAGUCGAUACGGGCAGGCUAGAGUUCGGCAGGGGAGACUGGAAUUCCUGGUGUAGCGGUGAAAUGCGCAGAUAUCAGGAGGAACACCAGUGGCGAAGGCGGGUCUCUGGGCCGAUACUGACACUGAGGAGCGAAAGCGUGGGGAGCGAACAGG
rnacentral:rRNA from 1 species